GAUGAAGAACGCAGCGAAAUGCGAUAAGUAGUGUGAAUUGCAGAAUUCAGUGAAUCAUCGAAUCUUUGAACGCACAUUGCGCCACUUGGUAUUCCAUGGGGCAUGCCUGUUCGAGCGUCAUUUGUACCUUCAAGCUUUGCUUGGUGUUGGGUGUUUGUCUCGCCUUUGCGUGUAGACUCGCCUUAAAAUAAUUGGCAGCCGGCGUAUUGAUUUCGGAGCGCAGUACAUCUCGCGCUUUGCACUCAUAACGACAGCGUCCAAAAGUACAUUUUACACUCUUGACCUCGGAUCAGGUAGGGAUACCCGCUGAACUUAAGCAUAUCAAUAAGCGGAGGA
rnacentral:misc_RNA from 1 species